GAGAAUAUGGUAAUGCUACUAUUGCUUAUGUCGAUUAGAGAUCAAUAACUGCAUAUUUGCAAUAGUGAAAUCUAAUAUCAUAUAUAUUCAGCAGUACAUUCUCCCUAUGCAAAGGUGUAGUGAUGGGAUUCUCCAUGACCUGUGUAGUUUGCUUGGGAGGCACUGAAAAAAAAGCUACAAUCAUAGGCUUAACCUUCUCUGUAGUCUUGAUAAUACCCAAGAAUAGAAGCCUGUAAAGAAUAACCAUUCCUAAUAAAACGGCAAGAUCAACCCACUUAGAGUAACUCAAAUCCACUUGCCAUAUAUUCCUCAAAAUUUCUUCACCACCAAUGGUUGGUGAACCUUCCAGGCGUCCAGCUUGAUUAUUAGUAGCAAAGGUUAGACCUUCAAAUUCAUUUUUG
rnacentral:misc_RNA from 1 species